rnacentral:rRNA from 1 species
GUGUCAGCAGCCGCGGUAAGACGAACCGAGCGAACGUUGUUCGGAAUCACUGGGCUUAAAGGGCGCGUAGGCGGGUGCUCAAGUCUGUGGUGAAAUCCUCCGGCUCAACCGGAGAACUGCCAUGGAUACUGGGUGUCUCGAGGGUGGUAGGGGUAUGCGGAACUAUCGGUGGAGCGGUGAAAUGCGUUGAUAUCGAUAGGAACUCCGGUGGCGAAGGCGGCAUACUGGACCACAUCUGACGCUGAGGCGCGAAAGCCAGGGGAGCGAACGGGAUUAGAAACCCGUGUAGUCC